AUUGAACGCUGGCGGCAGGCCUAACACAUGCAAGUCGAACGGUAACAGGAAACAUCUUGCUGUUUCGCUGACGAGUGGCGGGCGGGUGAGUAAUGUCUGGGAAACUGCCUGAUGGAGGGGGAUAACUACUGGAAACGGUAGCUAAUACCGCAUAACGUCGCAAGACCAAAGAGGGGGACCCGCGGGACUCUGUCCAUCGGAUGAUCCCAGAUGGGGCUAGCUUGUUGGUGGGGUAACGGCUCACCAAGGCGACGAUCCCUAGCUGGUCCGAGCGGAUGACCAGCCACACUGGAACUGAGACACGGUCCAGCCUCCUACGUGAGGCAGCAGUGGGAAUAUUGCACAAUGGGCGCAAGCCUGAUGCAGCCAUGCCGCGUGUAUGAAGAAGGCCUUCGGGUUGUAAAGUACUUUCAGCGGGGAGGAAGGGAGUAAAGUUAAUACCUUUGCUCAUUGACGUUACCCGCAGAAGAAGCACCGGCUAACUCCGUG
rnacentral:rRNA from 1 species